rnacentral:tRNA from 1 species
GGGCCUGUAGCUCAACGGUUAGAGCAAACCGCUCAUAACGGUUUGGUUGGGGGUUCAAAUCCCUCCGGGCCUACCA